rnacentral:rRNA from 1 species
UACGUAGGGUGCGAGCGUUAAUCGGAAUUACUGGGCGUAAAGCGUGCGCAGGCGGCUUUGCAAGACAGAUGUGAAAUCCCCGGGCUCAACCUGGGAACUGCAUUUGUGACUGCAAGGCUAGAGUACGGAAGAGGGGGAUGGAAUUCCGCGUGUAGCAGUGAAAUGCGUAGAUAUGCGGAGGAACACCAAUGGCGAAGACAAUCCCCUGGGCCUGUACUGACGCUCAUGCACCAAAGCGUGGGGAGCAAACAGG